AGAGGCUGAGCCAUUAACGACAGAGCUCGGGGAGAGAAGCUGGACUGCAGCUGGUUUCAGGAACUUCUCUUGACGAGAAGAGAGACCAAGGAGGCCAAGCAGGGGCUGGGCCAGAGGUGCCAACAUGGGGAAACUGAGGCUCGGCUCGGAAAGGUGAAGUAACUUGUCCAAGAUCACAAAGCUGGUGAACAUCAAGUUGGUGCUAUGGCAAGGCUGGGAACCUGCAGCCUGACUUGGGCUGCCCUGAUCAUCCUGCUGCUCCCCGGAAGUGAGUAUGGCCAAGGAUGAGGGUGCAGUGGGGAGGGGAAGCUACAAGGAGAGAUAUUGGGAAUUUCCUUGCACUGCCACAUGGCUCCUGGGAUUCCCAGAGAAUCCCAAGAGACUCAAGACUGAGCCACAGAUGUGGGGUAGCUGGUCUCCCACCCACAGACUUCCACAGGCAAACCACCACCCAAGAGGAAUGGUGAGACGACCCGGGCUGGUCAUCCUGGAAAAGGCCAGUGAGGCGCAGAUCUUGUCCGCAAAUCUCUACCAAGCUGUCAGAAGCAACCCAUGGGUCCUAUGCAGCCUUGGUGGGCAGCAAAGGGAUCAGGAUGGAAGCUACAAGGGGACAGGUUUCAUCCUGAAACAAAGAAGCCCAGGCAGAGCUUGAUUUCCAACCAUGGAAACUCUGUCUUGAGAGGUACAGAACUUCCCAUCCCCAGGGGUAUGCAAGCUGAAGCCAGGAUUGACAAAGAUGCUGUGCAGCAGGGGUUGGCAAACUUUGUCUGACAGUAAUGUUUGGGCU
rnacentral:sRNA from 1 species